GGGCGAUUCAAAAGGCUGGCAAAUUGAUAAAUGUAGACAUUUUCAACUGUAUAGUGUCUGUCAUGUUGUUGUUCUUGUUCCUUUUUUUUUUGCGAUUGCCGCGUUGUUUGUCUCGGUGCCCUCUUCUGUUCCUUGUCCACACUGAGCCUGUUUUACUGGAUCACGUUUGGGAUGUGUGUUUGUAGAGCUAUGCAAGAGCAGACGUCCUUCUGUCACCCUGUGCUUAAGCAGACGCACUCAUGCCAGGAGGAGGGGAUUGUGGGAAAAAGGGGUGUCGCUCUCAGAGGGUGUGCUCUACUCCUCUCUUUUCCCUUCUUCCCGCCAUCACGGCCCUCUUCUACUCCAGUCCUCCGGCCCAGGCCGCCGCUCAGAUACAGACUCCAGGAGUGUGACCUUGACAACUGCACUUUGAUGAGGCAACAUGAAUGCUGUCCUUGGGCCUGAGGAGACAGCUUGGUCGUCGCCCAGGUGACAAUAUGGAAGUGUUCAAGCAACACAGCAACUCACAUAACACAUAUUGUUGUGACAAUUACUGUGCUGUAUAGAAUAUGGUACCUGACCGGUGAAUAUGUUUGACCUGGGCUUUGUCAGGGUGAGGUAGUAGGUUGUAUAGUUUGGUGGGUGGGUCUGCACCCUACUCAGGUGAUAACUAUACAGUCUAUUGCCUUCCCUGAGUGGCUCACGCACGGACAGCUAAAGAUUAUUGAGCAAAACUAGUGCGCAUUUAUUUUGUAUUUGUAUUUGUAUGUGUUUAUUUGAAGGACAAUGUGCAGUUACAUUAAGAAGAUGGCUGCACCAGAUUUAGCACCAUGCUCAUUUCCAUCUGUAGUCCUUGUAUGGUGCAUCUAACAUCCACAAUAAAAUGACACAUGUUUGAAAAUACACAACAAUAUUAAAAUUACAUAAUGAUAAACAAUUUAAAAUACAAGUAAAUGAUAAAUGGGUUAUACUUGUAUAGCACUUUUCUACCUUCAAGGUACUCAAAGCGCUUUGACAGUAUUUCCACAUUUACCCAUUCACACACACAUUCACACACUGAUGGCAGGAGCUGCCAUGCAAGGCGCUAACCAGCAGCCAUCAGAGGCAAAGGGUGAAGUGUCUUGCCCAAGGACACAACGGACGUGACUAGGAAGGUAGAAGGUGGGAAUUGAACCCCAGUAACCAGCAACACUCCGAUUGCUGGCACAGCCACUCUACCAACUUCGCCACGCCGUCCUCAAGUACAACACAUAGAGGGUAUGUGAUUUACAAAUCAAUGGGUGGUCAAGUUACAGUAGUUUAGCAGCUUCAUUUAAAGUAUAUAAAGUGCAGCAGUUGUUAUCAAAGUCCACAUACAGUGCGGUAGCCAUCAGAUGAUACCCAUAAGGGUAUCAAUUAACCCCAUUGAUAUUGCAUAUAUAAAACAGUUUGCAAUGUUACAAGAUUGGAAUGGUACUCUGGUGGCCAUCAGACUGCUCCUGCCAUGGUAUCAUUUAAUUUGUUUACGUCACUCAAUUAUAAGUGUGAACAACGAACUGUUUAAGUAAAAAAUGUCAACAAAUUCAGACUUUACAAAUGCUUGGCUUUACCAUUGUAGUCUUGAGCGCCCUCCAGUGAAUACAACGGAAUACUGCAAAUCCAGUUCACCACCCUUGAAUGUCCUUGUCCACCAGUGAAAUGUAAAGGAUCAUUUUAAAGUUUGUAUUGUUUUACAGUUUUAUACAACAUAUCAGACUACAAAAUGUGUGUGUAUAACACGUGAAAUAAAAACUGAACAUAUUUCCAUAAGACGGUUGAAGACAGUUCGAAGGACACACCAAAUAACUAAGAACACAGCAGUGGUGCUGAUUUGAGUUAAAUUGUAGUUCCGGGUAAUAGUCUUUUACAUUAUCCUCCUUCAAAACCGCACUAAAAGAACACCUCCAGGCAACUUCAACCCUAAACUAACACCCUCCCUUCCACAUCAUACCUCUUCGGAUUGUAAAUAAUCAAAUGUAAAUAAUCAAAUGUAUAUACACUUUUUCUUAUACUUUCUGAUCUCUCUCUCUGUGUCCACUACUUGCUGUACAUAUCCUACCAAGUCAGUCCUACACUGUUCCAAUGUCCAUUUCUCUGAUGAUGCAAUUGUUGAUGACUGAAGUGUUGAUCCCAACAAAACCUAACCCCCCCCCUCCCCCUCCAUAUCCCACACCCCGGAUUGUAAAUAAUGUAAAUAAUUCAAUGUAUAUACUCUGAUUAUCUUGUGUGAUGACUGUAUUAUGAAGAUAGUAUAUAUCUGUAUCAUGAAUCAAUUUAAGUGGACCCCGACUUAAACAAGUUGAAAAACUUAUUCGGGUGUUACCAUUUAGUGGUCAAUUGUACGGAAUAUGUACUGUACUGUGCAAUCUACUAAUAAAAGUUUCAAUCAAUCAGUCAAUCGAUAGAAACUACAAAGAGUAGAAGUUUUUUAUUUUUUUAUAUUUUUUUUAUUGAACAACAAACAUACAUUUAUAAUUCACUCAAUAGUCAAGGCACUUUCAACAGCAAGGAAAGAAAACAAAAGCAAAUACAGAUAGAGUAUUAAAUAUGAAUAAAUAAUAAUAAUAAAAAAUAUAUUUAAAAAAAAAAGACAAAAAGGUCUACCUAAAUCACUUGAAAUGUUUUUAACAAAGAUAUCAAUUAAAUGGCUUUUGUACUCUUAAUCAUUCUCCAAGAUUUGAUUGAUAAUUGUAAACCAUUAAGCCAAUUAGAAAAUGUAGGCCUUGCUUUCAUAAAUCGACAUUUAUGUAGAAGUUGUUUUGCCUGGAGCAUAAUAAUUUUGACAAACAUUUCUAUGUUACAGUCGUUUAUAAAAAUACCAAAUUUGAUCUCUUCUAUAGUGAAUGGGGACAUCUCCCCGCCCUUGUCUCUCAGCCAAUCUCUGAUGUCUCUCAGCCAAUCUCUGAUGUCUCUCAGCCAAUCUCUGAUCUCCUCCCAAAACACAUGUACACUCUCACAUUCCACAAACAGAUGAUUAGCAUCCUCUACAGCUCCACAUAUAUAACAGCCAUCAACCUUCAUGUUAAAUUUAAGUUAAAAAAAAAUCCUUUGAAGGGUAUAUUCCAUUAAUAAUAUUUAAAUCGUAUUUCUUUAAUUUAGGGAAGAAUUGGGUAUGUAAUAUAUCUUGUCCUCAUGUUCCUUAGCUCAGCUUUUGUAAACUCCUUCAGGAUAUAUUAGUUAUGUUAUAUGUUAUGUUAUCAAUUUAAGUGGACCCCGACUUAAACAAGUUGAAAAACUUAUUCGGGUGUUACCAUUUAGUGGUCAAUUGUACGGAAUAUGUACUUCACUGUGCAACCUACUAAUAAAAGUCUCAAUCAAUCAAUCAAUUGUCUAUGAACUGUGCCCGGAAAAUAUAAUUUCACUAAAACUGCCCACAUAUAUAUUUGUUGGAACAUUUUUCAUCAAAGAAAUUAAACAAAGGGUAGAAGUGCCUGUUUCCACCUUUCAUUCGGCAAUUAGCAGACAAUUGUGCGCACUAUUGCCUCCUAUAGGACAGGCGUGGAAUAGCACGCACGUGACAGCUUUGCAAGACGUACCGUCGUUAUUGUAUUUGUACAAUUAUUUCACGAUCAAUAAUUAUAAACAUGUCAUAAUGUUUGAUGAUCUCACCGAGUCAAAACAUGACUAUUAGCGUACUUAAACAGGCAGAAUACAUACAGCAAUGUGCACUCUGCGUCUCCGCCUGUUGCAUGCUGCCUCACGUGUCUCUUUAUAGCCAAUCAACACACAGUAACACGAACGCCGUAACCGGUAGACGCAUAGACAUCUUAUAAGGGUACGCAGCAUCGAGCGCUACUGCCUGCUGGCGCUGACGAGACGCGGGGCCGCCAUCUUGGAGUGGUGAUCCGCUCCACUCAGUGCAAUUCAUUUGGCAGGAGCAAUGAACUGGCAGCGCAUUUAAUUCAUCUUACCUCACCGAAUACCACUGAUUUUCACGCGUUUUUUUGUCAUACGUGUAUCUAUGAUAAAUGGAACAUGUUUUGGCGUGUUUUAUUAUUCAUAGUUUGCUUAACAGUAAUAUAAUAUUCUUAUAUGCUAUAAAUGACCAGACGUCCGAUAUCAAAAACUGACAAUAUAAUGCCAGAGAAGGGGGAAAAAAACGGUCAGCUAUUUUUAAGUUGGAGAAACAAUAUGAUUAGGUUAUAUAUACAUGUGUAUAUCCUACAUAAACAAUGUAUGAAUACAUUAGAUAUCAAUAUAUCUUAGGGACCAUAUAGACUGUAUCUCUGUUGCUGCAGCAGCAGAGUUUAUUCUGUCUUGACACUUUGUAUUGAUAUUUUGUAUUAUUUUCUUCCCUUAAAUGAUAAUCUUUACGGUGAUUGUUUUAUAUGUAAUUGUUAUGUAUGUCGCUUUGGAUAAAAGCGUCUGCCAAAUACUUAAACAUAUAUAAACACCUGAAAGUCUUUAUAUCAGCUAAAACCACCAAUCUGUUUCACUGGAUUCAGAAUAAAACCAAAUUCUGUCUUACCCAACAAUGUUAGUAUUUGAAUAUUGUUACUUGAAGACUUAUUCCUGUUUACAAUUAUACUGUUAAGAAAGUAUUGUCUUAUACUUUGCCUAAAAUGAGAAUUAAUCAUAAUCAGUGGCGGCUGGUGAAUUUUGUUUUAGGUGGGGCUGAAAGUUUGUAAACCAAACCCCUAUAGGGGUGUCAUGCUCCCCCAGAAGAUUUAUUUGUGAUUUUCACAUACAAAUGAAGCAUUUUGGUGCAUUCUGACAAAAUAAUGAAGACAAAAUAGAACAUUUCAUAGGUUUGCAGAGAACUAUAUACAAUAUGCGCACUGAAGGCAUGAUGACACAAAAAAGACAAAUGACACAUUUCACGAAGGUGGGCUACACAAAAUUGGGUUGGAAAGCUAGACUAAAUUUAGACUUGUAUAAUACUGUAUAGCCACUGUCCAUCUGAUUGUCUAGUUAGCUGACAUAUAUUACCCCCACCCCCCACACCCCCACCCCUACACAAUCUGGACUGUGGUCCUAACUUUUACCCCUGUUGGCUUUUACAAUCUUUAUCUUCAUCAUUUAUUUCAACUUUAUGUUAUUUAAGUAUGACAUGUUUAAAUGUAAUUAAUUUUAUUGACAAGCAGUUCUAUUAUGGUCAUACUCUUGUUUGCUAGUGGCUACGAUUUCGGUACUAUUGAAGAUCUUUGCUCCUUCUCAACUCUGUGGUAAUAUUGUUUUCAGAAAAUACAUUGAAGUUAAAAUCUUACUUGUGAAAAGUAAUCCCCCGAUUCCUAUUUUCAACAGUCCGCUCAUUUGAGCAGGAAAACACUGAACACCAGCCCGUCAUCUUUGUUUUCUACCUGUCAACUGUCAGUUUAGGCUGCUCGCCGGCUCCUUAUCACCACUUCAAUAUGGCGGCCGAAUUUCUCGCGUCACAGCAGCCAAUGCUGCAUAUACAUACACGAUGUCUAUGGGUAGACGCACUUAACACGGAAGUACGCAACGUAAAUAAAGGUGGACUAUUGACGUGUACAAAGAGAGUGUCCGAGAGAUUACAUAAAAAGAAGAUGCAGGGAGGUGGGGACGAAGGGGUAGGUAUGACAGUAUCGCCAGCAGACUGAAACGAAAGAGGGGAAACUACAGUUUUAAUUGGUUGUCAUAACCUGUUGAUGGCGCUAUCAUCAACGUUUUUUGUUGUGGCUACAUGCAAACGUGGCAUAGAUCAUCGUUCUAAAAAAAAUCCCACCAAGUCAAAAAAAAAAAUGCCACAGAAAUGUCAAAUAUAAAUGUGAAAACUGAAUGAAAUGAAAUGUAAAAGCGAUUAAAUAAUAAUAAAAAAAGAAACUGGUCCCUGCACAGAAGUCAAUAACAGACAGGAUGUAGAAAAAGGCCUAACUGGAAACAUCUACAGAAGUGGUAGAGCUCAAAAGAUUGCAGUGAUAAUUUUGAUUAUUGAGGGUAACUUUUUUAUUCAACUAAAGUGAACGAUUAUUUAAAGGGACCCAUGGUUGUGAUUUGUUUAUCCUGUAAGUUGAAGGUGUCAAUUCCUGUUUAUCUUAAAAUAAAAAAAUACAUUCUAAAACUCUUUGUUGGGCUGCCUGUUGAAGACGUCUCAUUCAGACACUGUUUUAAAAACAAUAAAACUCUUACCUAAUCGUCGGAAGCUUUUUUUUCAUGCUUUUUCGAGCAUCAAGUUGUAUUAUUUAUGUAUUUCCAUCCAUCCAUCCAUUUUCUACCGCUUGUCCCUUUCGGGGUCUCGGGGAGUGCUGGAGCCUACCUCAGCUGCAUUCGGGCGAAAGGCGGGGUACACCCUGGACAAGUCGCCUGCUCAUCGCAGGGCCAACACAGAUAGACGGACAACAUUCACACUCACGUUCACAUUUAUUUUGGAAAAAAACAACAAAAAUAUACUCUUCAGCUACACAAAUCAAAGAAAAACAAUGCAUCUCUCAUAUCAUCAUUUGUUAAAAAAAAAAAAUAAAUAAAUAAAAAAAUAAAAAUCACGUGUGUCUGAAAAGAAGCAGGAAGAAGCAAAGGCUUAUGUCCUGCCUCAUCAUUCAGAUAAAUUAUCCAGAUUUUUGAUCUACAAUACAUUACAACAAUCAGAAUGUCUUUGUGAAGAAACAUAUACUGUAUAAUUUCAUCCACAUAUAGGCCUAGACAUCUUUUUAUCAAAUUUAGUUUGAUACAAUAUACCUUUAAGAUAUUUGAUGUUUCCUCGACCUUGUUGUACAACUUGUACCUAUCAAAAAUAUAUAUUUAUUUUUUAAAUUGUAUUAUGUUAUUAAUUUCCUCAUUCAAAUGAUUCUAUUGAGUCAUCCUCUAAACUGAUUUGCACAUCAUUUUUAAGAGCUGCUUUGAAUUCACGGUGGCACAGGGGUUAGUGCAUGUGCCUCACAAUACGAAGGUCCUGAGUAGUCCUGAGUUCAAUCCCGGGCUCGGGAUCUUUCUGUGUGGAGUUUCCAUGUUCUCCCCGUGACUGUGUGGGUUCCCUCCGGGUACUGCGGCUUCCUCCCACCUCCAAAGACAUGCA